rnacentral:rRNA from 1 species
GUCUAUGGCCAUACCACCCUGAACAUGCCCGAUCUCGUCUGAUCCCGGAAAGCUCAGCAGGUUUGGGCCUGGUUAGUACUUGGAUGGGAGACCGCCUGGGAAUACUGGGUGCUGUAGGCU